AGUUAGCCGAGACUUGUUCCUAUGGUACCGUCCUUGUCUCUUCCCAUAGAAAAGAGCUUUACAACCCGAAGGCCUUCAUCGCUCACGCGGCGUUGCUGCAUCAGGGUUUCCCCCAUUGUGCAAUAUUCCU
rnacentral:rRNA from 1 species